GAAUAGCUCAUGCAGUAGAGCACGAGACUCUUGUUCUCAGGGUUGUGGGUUUGAGCCCCACGUUGGGCA